rnacentral:piRNA from 1 species
UCGAAGGUUUUACCAGGCUUUGGCCCAGCAG